rnacentral:rRNA from 1 species
AUCAUGGCUCAGAAUAACGCUGGCGGCGCGCUUAACACAUGCAAGUCGAACGAGAAAGCCCGCGAGGGUGAGUAAAGUGGCGUACGGGUGAGUAACACGUGGGUAAUCUACCUUUUGGUGGGGAAUAACCCUGGGAAACCGGGGCUAAUACCGCAUAAGCUCGAAAGAGGAAAGGAGCAAUUCGCCGAAAGAGGAGCCCGCGGCUGAUUAGCUAGUUGGUAGGGUAAAAGCCUACCAAGGCUAUGAUCGGUAGCCGGCCUGAGAGGGCACACGGCCACACUGGCACUGAAACACGGGCCAGACUCCUACGGGAGGCAGCAGUGGGGAAUCUUGCACAAUGGGGGAAACCCUGAUGCAGCGACGCCGCGUGAGUGAUGAAGCCCUUCGGGGUGUAAAGCUCUUUCGGCAGGGACGAUAAUGACGGUACCUGAAGAAGAAGCUGCGGCUAACUACGUGCCAGCAGCCGCGGUAAUACGUAGGCAGCGAGCGUUGUUCGGAGUUACUGGGCGUAAAGAGUGCGUAGGCGGUUUUCUAAGUUUGGUGUGAAAUCUCCCGGCUUAACUGGGAGGGUGCGCCGAAGACUGGAAGGCUAGAGUAUGGGAGAGGUAAGCGGAAUUCCUGGUGUAGCGGUGAAAUGCGUAGAUAUCAGGAGGAACACCUGCGGUGUAGACGGCUUACUGGACCAUAACUGACGCUGAGGCACGAAAGCGUGGGUAGCAAACAGGAUUAGAUACCCUGGUAG